rnacentral:misc_RNA from 1 species
GAUGAAGAACGCAGCGAAUUGCGAUAAGUAAUGUGAAUUGCAGAUUUUCAGUGAAUCAUCGAAUCUUUGAACGCACAUUGCGCCCCCUGGUAUUCCGGGGGGCAUGCCUGUCCGAGCGUCAUUACAACCCUCAAGCUCAGCUUGGUGUUGGGCCCCGCCGCCCCGGCGGGCCCUAAAGUCAGUGGCGGUGCCGUCCGGCUCCGAGCGUAGUAAUUCUUCUCGCUCUGGAGGCCCGGUCGUGUGCUCGCCAGCAACCCCCAAUUUUUUUCAGGUUGACCUCGGAUCAGGUAGGGAUACCCGCUGAACUUAAGCAUAUCAAUAAGCGGAGGA